GCCGACCCGCCUGCGAUUCCCGGAUAAGGAAAUCUGCUCACCCGGACCCCACUCCAGCCAAAGAGGAUUAAAAUCUGAUGGAUUGCCUACAACACACUUCUCCAGUUCUCCAGCCUCCUAGGGACCUGCAGAGGAAGAGAAGGAGUCAAGAUGAACACAAAAAUGGAGGCUUGGGAGAGAGUGAGAGAAUUAACAAGUUAAUCUUUCAAUAGGAUCCUUUGGGAUUCAGAAAACAGAAAAGAAAACGAAUUAGAGAUGCACGCACCUAAGGACAAGCCUGCAGAAGCCCCGAAAUGGGGUAUCCUCCACGAUGCCUCCAAAUCCCCCAAGAGGCGACGCCCCACACAGGUUGGCACUUGCCCUCCACUUCUCCCCUAAGUGUGUCUUUCCAUGCUGACUCCCCACCUUUCCAACUGGCCUGGGUCAUCUUUUGGUAUGGCAAAAUGGUCUGGGGCCUGCGAGGUACCUUUCCUCCCUGGAUGCAUUCAGCCCUACCCCACUGGGCUCCGAGGUCAGGGAUCGCUGCGACCAAAAUCAGCCUCUGUGCUCCGAAGCCGCAAGGCUCAGCCCGGAUCCACUCGGGGAGAGGCAGGCCAGAGGGCGGCCUUGCAGCCUGGGAACCGUUUCCAGGGAGGAGAAGCUAGAGGAUACUGCAGAGAGUGCAUUUUUCUCUCCAAGAGGAACUUUAGGGGGAGAAGAGACAAAAGAGGAGACGCCUAAAUUACCGAGAAAAGGAAAAAGGAGGGAAGAGAAACGUUAAAAGUUGGGGAAAAGGUGCUUUUUGGGAUCCGACAGGUUCCCGAAUUGUCGGAAGUCCAAUCCUCUCCAGGCUCCCAAAUUUCCCCUCUUCCUCUUGGAGCCUGCAAUCAGUAAAUUCGCCAAAAGAAAGAACGAAAGAUCCUCCUAAACCUGCCGGCGUGCCCCCACCCCAGGUCUGCAGCGGUGGAGGUGACUGCGGCGGUGUGGCCGGCGGCGCGUAAUGUAUGCUGCAGCGGCUCGGAGCCCCACGUAGGCCGGCGCUGCUGCCCCCGUCUGCUGACCUCUGCAUGAUCCCGGACUCUAUGAAUUAUUGAUGAGAUAUGAGCGUUGAUUUCCCCUUUCAGGAUGCAAACUCCAUUAUAUUGUUAAAAUGGCGAUUUAAUCGUUGAGAAUAGCUUUGGCGUGGGUUUUUUCCCCCAACUCAUUUGCGCCUCCUUCCUUUUCAUUUAACUCUCUUAAUUAAAUCCUCUAACAGAUUUUAAUCACUUUU